UACGUAGGGUGCAAGCGUUAAUCGGAAUUACUGGGCGUAAAGCGUGCGCAGGCGGUUGUGUAAGACAGAUGUGAAAUCCCCGGGCUCAACCUGGGAACUGCAUUUGUGACUGCACAGCUGGAGUGCGGCAGAGGGGGAUGGAAUUCCGCGUGUAGCAGUGAAAUGCGUAGAUAUGUGGAGGAACACCGAUGGCGAAGGCAGCCCCCUGGGUUAACACUGACGCUCAUGCACGAAAGCGUGGGGAGCAAACAGG
rnacentral:rRNA from 1 species